UGCUGGUGCUCAAGGGCGACAUCUGCUGGAUCAAAAAAUUGCAUAUAAAGCCUUUAAGAGUGUUGAUUGAUUAAUUAACAACAAAUUGAUUCUCUGUAUUUUAACAACGAUCAAGAUGACCUUUAGGAAUCAUUCUUCUUUACCAGCAGAUCAAAGUCUUUUUUUUUUUUCUUUUUUUUUUAAGUGAGUUAAGAAACCGAGUGACCUGGUUUCUGACUCACAAUUUUCUAUUUUUUCUUUGUUUGUAACAAAAUGAGAUUUAUAUUCUUGGUUAAUGUAAAGACCUUCUUGCAUGAUUUCAGUUCAAGCAUCAACUCGUUGCAUGAUACCAAAAAAUCUCUCUACAAAACUGAUAAACCAGCAAUGUGUUUGUGACCUGGGGGUGUACUACGAAGCCAGAUUAGAGCGUAAUGCGGCUUUAUUGGCCUUUGCAGGUGGUGCCGCGGGAGUGAAGCUGUGACGCGCUGUUGUUAUGAAUGACUUCCAAAAUCCAAGAUACUUUAGUCAUUUCUUCUACAAAACACAAGAAACUACAACUGCAGUUCCCACGUCAUAAAAUCAACUUGUGAUCGUAGUGCACUUUAGUAUGGCGUUCAACAGAAAUGUUCUGCUCCCACGCUCACCCCUCCUAUCUAAGCCUAAACCAGGUGAACAGGUGAGUGCGGCCCAUUUAAUCACUGCCAUCACCACCAAAUGUCGAGUGAACACACCCACCACCAGUAACAAGAAGGCCGUAAACAAAUCAGUAAACGAACCAUGAAACCGAAAACACAUCAGCUCACAUGUCUGGCUCCUACAGAGGGUAAACCCGGUCUGUCUGAACUGUCUUAAAGGUGUACCCCCCUUUUGGUUUUAAAAUGAUGCAGAUUUUAGAUCCUUAAUGUGGGCAGUAUGGUUUACUUCAUUUGCAUAUCUGCACAUGCUGUGAAAAAGUCAAAACACAUUCCUGUUAAAACCACUAACAAGGGUUUCAUCUUUUAACCGGGCCGGUGUGAAACUAAAGGAUCAAAUGUGAGUCGCUGCUAUUGUGUGUACAGUGGAAGACACUGCACUCUUUUUAUGUGGGUUUGUAUGUGGGUAAAAGAAAGAUUUGUAAAUGUCUGAAUACUGAAUAUUGCUAGAAUAAGUUGCACAAAUCUCAAUUUUUUUUUAGCACACUGCAGAACUCAGCGAAUCACAGUAUGGAUCGAUGGAGUCAGACAGUAUAUCCUAUGUGACUCUAAGAAACGAUGACCCCUGAACAACUUUAUGCAGAGCACCGAUGUUAAAUGUUAUGAACUGAGUGUCGGUCUGAUAUCAAACAUCCCUCCGGUACCAGGAUGAGGAUUAAAACAUAUUUAUACAUACAAUUUGGGGAAAACUGACAUUUUGGUAAUUUUGACUGACGUAGCGCUCUCUAUUAGCCCUGCAAUUUAAAUGAUUGAUGAUUAUUAACUUGAAAACUGUGACUGAUGCUUUGGAGAGGUUAUUAAAUGAUGGUACUGGAUCUGA